rnacentral:rRNA from 1 species
CAAAAGAAGUAGGUAGCUUAACCUUCGGGAGGGCGCUUACCACUUUGUGAUUCAUGACUGGGGUGAAGUCGUAACAAGGUAACCGUAGGGGAACCUGCGGUUGGAUCACCUCCUUACCUCAAGAUAC